GGAUGUGAUGGUCACCUAGCAAGGACAUCUGUCACCCCAUUGAUCAACCCCAUGGUUGAUUUGGCUGACCCGGCUCCCUAAGCACUCCAUGUACAUUCUUCCUGAAACUGUUCACAUGUUCACCUUCCCUGAAUAAAGGAGGACCUCAGUCGAGGGUCUAUGAGUAGCUGUGCUCCCCUGCCAGAACCUCCAAACAGGCUCUCAAAGACUAAUAACAUGGACACAAGUCAUUUCAUCUAACUACCUAGAUCCUGAACUUCUGCAGAAGCAGGAGGGGAUUA
ensembl:misc_RNA 7SK 7SK RNA